rnacentral:rRNA from 1 species
AUGUGAUCGUCUCUCGCAUAUCAAUAAGCGGAGGAAAAGAAACUAACAAGGAUUCCCCUAGUAACGGCGAGUGAAGCGGGAAGAGCUCAAAUUUGAAAUCUUAAAGGGUUUCCCUUUACGAAUUGUAGUUUAAAGAAGUGUUUUCCUGUUGAGGUUUUGGUAAAAGUUCUUUGGAAUAGGACAUCAUAGAGGGUGAGAAUACCGUAUUUGACCUUUACUUUCAACUUUGUGAUACACUUUCAAAGAGUCGGAUUGUUUGGGAAUGCAGUCCAAAAUGGGUGGUAAAUUUCAUCUAAAGCUAAAUAUUGGCGAGAGACCGAUAGCGAACAAGUACCGUGAGGGAAAGAUGAAAAGAACUUCGAAAAGAGAGUUAAACAGUACGUGAAAUUGUCAAAAGGGAAGCGUUUGACACCAGUGUUGUUUUUCUGAAAAUCAAUUAAAGAACUGUUUAUGCUAAGCUGUUUAGACUUUAUCAGCUAUCUGUUUAGUUUUGAGCUUUUCUUUAAUGCACUUUUCAGUUAACAAGUCAACAUCAAUUUCUUUUGCUGUAAAAAAGCUUGAGGAAGGUGGCUUGAGAUUCGUCUUAAGUGUUUAUAGCCUCUUGCCUAUGCAGUCGGAGAGAUUGAGGUCUGCAGCGUAGAUCCUUCGGGGCUAAAUGCAUUUGUGCUAAGUUAUAGCAUUUUAUAGACAACUUGUUGACUAUGAUUUGGCUUGUAGCUUACUCGCUUAUGUUAUUUUACCUACGCUUAGGAUGUUGAGCGCAUGUCUCUCUCU